UUGUAUUCACACGCCAGCCCCUGGUCGGGAGGAACUUGGCAGUCCUCCACUUGGCAGAGGCAGCAGAGCGCAGCCAAACUGCAGCAGCCGAGGAGGCCCUGCAUCUUGAACUAUAAAUGUUUACAUGGGAGCCUGGAAAAGAGUUCUCAGCUUUUGAAUGAAUAUAUGAACAAUAUGCAAUGAUCCUGCCAAAGGGAAGGCUUUACAUGCAAAAGGCAAAGACAACUCCUGUGAAGAUUGUUAAUGCAUUGACAGCCUUAACAGAGCUGCUUUGUUACAGCAUCACUUCGCCACCUGUCUAGUGUAGUUCUAUAAAGGAUCCCAGCAUGAACCUGUCUUUCAUUCCCUAAUGGAGACUUGGUGCCUCUUACUGAAGCUCUGAAUUUAUAGUCCUUCCACAUAUAUGGAAAAUUCUGAUGCCCAUAGGGAUGGACCUUGAAAGAAAAUGCAUGAAUGGAGUUCGAGGCACAGCUGGAUGCGAUUGGUCACUGAACCCAAACAACCUUCACCAGAGUCCAAUCCAGCAAUCACUGCAGGUAAAUAAUCUCCAUACCACAUUCCACAUGGGGAAAACAAAGGAGAGAUAAAGAUUGUUUUCUCUUCUUAUCUCUAUGCUUCUCCAAGAAAUCAUAAGAGACAGAAUUAUGUCUCUCUGUCCAGAGAAUAUGAAUGCCACAGUGGAGAAGACAGCUCUGUGGAAAGUGUUCUUGUCACAUCUUCCUUGUCUGGCACAGCCUUUCUCUUAAUUUCUCUAAAUCAAAUGGAGUUUGCCUUAAUCUCUUAUGCCCAGCAUUGCUAGAUGGCAAACUUCUUUUGUUGUUUAUAACAUCUGCUUCUUCUCUGGUCAUAUCUCUCCAGCUGGCUGGCUAAACCAGCUGUUUGUAAGCUUUUCCAUAAAGUGGAAUUUAUCUUGCUUUAGGGAACAAAAUGGAAAAGUUCUCCCUUUUCAAGGAUUACAGGUUACUAACCUGUAUUCAUGGCAGCUUCAUGCAACUCUGUCCCAUCAGGAAGAUGGUUCCCUGUUGUUCAUCAUCUUUUAUGUGGUCUGUGGUCUUCCUUCUGAAAAAAUCAGCAAAACAAAACAGAAAUCCCCAAAGUUAAUGCAAUGAUCUGAUGUUUCCCCUUUUAGUCUUUCUUAAUUGCUUCUCCUAAUGUGUUGCAUCUCUCUUGUAAAAAAAGAAAGAAAAUUUAAUGUGACGGAAUGGACUUCGCUAAACACAGUGUUAAAUUUUGUAUAGGUACUAAAUAUAGCAGUGCCUUUCAGUGAAAGUAUGUAAAUCUCUUGAUUUUUCCUGACUCUGGCCACAAAUAAGAUGUCUGCUACUUGUAAGACCACAGAACUCCCCUCCAUCAGAUCACUUCAAAAUCAAUUAUAUGAACCCAAGCCAAAUAUGAUAUAACAGGCAAGCUGCAGAUAAAAUGCAGAACAAACCUGCAGGAUUGCAAACUGUGGCACUUAAAUAUCACAAAUAUGUUUACCUCUCCACUUGCUCCAUCCCCAUGAUGAAAUAUUUGCUUGGAAUACUUUCAGAAAAGAUGCUCUCCUUCUAAUCCUAAAUGAAUUAGUUUUCAUUUCACUUGUCAUUGAUUUCUGUAAAGAAGGUGCUUUGGUCUGUGCUUCCCAUGACUGACCAUGGUAUCUCCUGGCCAUUGAGGAAAGCCUUGACAGAAAAUAGAGGCAGGGGUCUGGGCCACAGUUUUGCUAUCUGACAGAGUUGAAGGAUCCAUAGUGACCCCACAAGCCACCUAAAUUGUAAAAUUUGUACAGAUUGAUCUUGCCCUGCUGAGCAGCUGUGAACCUGAAGCUCCAAAGCCUGUCUCCGGGUGAGCCCAGAGCAGUAGUGGGUUUCAAUGAACUGUGAAUAAAGAACUAAACUUGUGAGUUUUCCUUCCUGUGAAGAAUUUUUUAAUUCCUUCCUAAUUUGCAUGGUAGCAAUUUUUGGGUUGGUUUCUGCUCUUCUUGGUGAUUUUCCAAGCAGCAGCUUUGAAAGCUACUUUUCAGAGGACCUUUUUACAAAGUAGUGUACAGACCAGGAAUAAAACAAAACACAAAAACAAUCCAAUGCCAAGAUGCUUGUAUUCUGCUCAGCACUAGUUAAUGAUGAUAAUGAUAAUAUAAUAGUAAUAAUAAUAAUAAUAGUGGAAAUUUAAAGUGAAUUUAUGAGCAUACUCAUCUGUGUAAGUUGGAAUCUAUUUCAUGGCAACAGUUCUAGUAAUAUUUCAGAACUUGUAUCUCUGGAAAGAAAAAACAAAUUAAUUUAUUUAAAUGUUCAGAAGUACAAUUGUAACAGCCUUUCUGCACUAUUUGUCCCUAAUGAGAACAAACUGUCAUUGUCAUUGUUUCCAGGCAACUACCAAGAAAUACUUAACCUUACAUGGGGGUCGCGAAAACCACACAUUGUGCCAGGUAAAGCAUGUCUUUGAAAAGAAACUAGCUCAAGAGAUCACAUAGGAACAUUUUAUUUAAUCUCACUUUUAAUUAGUUAUUUUUUUGUACUCUCAGGGCAAUUAUUUUUCUGUCAAAGAUUUGCUUUCCUUAGCUGGGAAAAUCAAAUUAAACAUGAUCUUCACAUUCUAUUUCUAAUAUUUAACAAGCCAAUAAGUACUCUGGGCUGCAGUGGUUACUGUUGGGUCAUUUGGAAAGAUUUUGAUAGCUUGAGAGCAUUCCCUCUUGAUGAAAAUGGGAAGAGCUAGUAAGAGAAGUAUGAUGGGCAGUUUUAGAGGCUUCCACUCAGACUAGAACCUCAUUAUACAUCAUGCAUACUGCAAAUGCCCAUCUCUCUGAGCACACUACAGCCUGAAUAAAUAAGAAAUUGAUGGAGAAAUGAAAGUAUAACAACAAGUGGCACAAUAAAGUAAAACAACAAGUGGCAACAGGGGACCCUCCACCCAAGUCCCAAACAGUACCUCAUGAGCUGAGGGAGGUGGCAAAAAUUAAUCCAGUCUGGUGGUGACUGAAAUUGUUUUUCACUUAUUAAAUGAAAAAAACAUAUAUAUGACAUUGAACUUUACUGUACUUCACAUCUGGCAGCAUCUUAAACCAAUUUUUGUGGUUAUAUUAGAAUUCCAUAAUUACCAUGUUUUUUAUCCAUGCUUCUAAACAGUGCUUGAUGACUAAAUUGGAAAAUAACUGGAAUCUUUCUUUGGCAAUUCACUGUGAAGUUUACAUUUUCUCAUCACAGCACUGUUCGCUUUGAAAGCUCUCAUUAUUUGGUGUAAAGAGCAAAUUAAGCUGUAAAAUAGAAUGCAAUGAACAAACCUUACCUGCUUUUUACAACCACAGUCCUAGGAGUCCAGGGUGCAGUGUGUUUUUUUACUCAGUUCCCUCAGCCUCAGGGAAUGUAGAGGAAAAAUGGAUAAAGGUUUAUGAGAAAAUAUCCUUAUUGAUAGUCAUGGAUAAAUUAUAAUUGAUGUGCUUUUCUAACAAGAGAAAAAAUUCUAAUGGAAUGAAGUUUUCCAAAUCUAAAGCCAAAGCAGCACCACUCUGUUCACCUGUGCAGAGACGAGGUUUAUUGUCUUAUCUUUGGCAAUACACAGAUGAAAUUCCUUUUUCUUCUUGCAAAGCAAGUCAUGUAAGGCCUACAUGAUGUAGCCUAAAUUGAGAAAGAGAUUUGUCACUUUUUUUGGCAAUAAUUCACAUAGUCUCAAAGACAAAUAUAUUUCCGAGCAGUGACUCUGUGAACAAUAAAGCAAACACUCUCGGCUACCUACCAGCCCAUCCAUCUUUUUAAAUCAUGUCAGCAGGCUUCAAAUUGUUCAUUAAGCAUUAUUGUUUGAUAGAGGAGGAAAUAAUUUGUGAUGAAAUACACCAAGCCAUUGAACUUUGCAAUUGUUUAUUACUUGGUCUUGAUUUCUUGUACAUUGCUGCUUCAUCAUUUGCCUAUCAUUUGUUUUGGAUGACAUGGUUUAUCCUCGCUUUAAAACUGCCUGGGUUGCAUAGGUAAACUUGUAAACUGAACAGCUCAGGCCUUCUUAUGAAAGCAUCCACCUACUGUUUGUGAAAUCUGAAGAGUGCUGUGUGUGCAAUUUUGUUGUAAGCAAGGUGUGAGAUCUUUCUUCUGUCAAGAAAAAACAGGUUUAUGCAGCCUGAUAUGAAGCUUGAUGGCUUUUGUUUGAACUGAAAGACUGAUGAACAAACUUUCUAGGAAGUGAGAAGGUACAGGCAUCAUAGCAGAUGGAUACAAGUGGUUCAAGUAGCAAGUAAAGUAGGCUUUGUGCCAUAAAUGACAUCUUAUGGUUUAAGAACUAAACCAGAUAGGGGUCAUUUCUGUGUCAUGAGGCAGAGAGAGGUGACUGCAUCUGUGCUAAGUCUGCUGUAAUUUCUGUUGUUAUUGCUGUUAUAAAUGGGUGUCUUAAUUAGAACAGAGGGAAUUUAUGGGCAGAUAUGAAAAUGUGGUUACUAUAGUUACCAGGUGCUCCAGCUCAGUCAGGAAAUGUGGCUAAUAUAAUGAUAGCCCAAGGGUAAACAUAUGAGGUAAAUGAUGAACAAGUCCCUUGCUACAGGAGAAAAUAUUUUUCUUCACUUUUUUUUUUGUUGGCUUAUUUGCCAAACUAACAUUUACCACUACAAUUCCUUUCCUGUCCUUCCCUUUCUUGCAAUGGACUGGUUUAGGUUAGUUUAUGAGGAGUUUUGGGGGAAAGAAAGUGCAGAGUGAAGUAGCAUUUAGAGGAAGGAUAAACAUCUAUUUGCUUGUCUGUCAAAGCUCUCUCCUAAAAUCCCUCCCCAUUCCUCUGUACACACGCUAGGCAGCAAGGUGAAAUAUGUGUAUUUUCACAAGUUCAGAAAGAAAACUUUUUCAGUUUUGCUUUUUUUUUUUUUUCUUUUGUUUAUGACCCUAAUUCCAGUAGUGACCUUGAUCUCAUGACAGCCUGUGAGCAGGGAAGGAGGAGAAAGGCAGGGAGACAUUGUCAGGGAGCAUCAAAUGAGAAAAAUGUCAUAUCAGAGGGAACAAACCCCAGAGGAGUGACUGGAGUGAGCUCCUGCUUGGUGCUGCCUACAGUCAGGCAGUCAGGGUCUACAUAGGUUGUCCCAUUUGCUACAAGGAAAGGAAGAAUAGUGAAGUCAGACUAAUUUUUGCAGCAAUUUCUCUGGAGUCAACAAGAUGUCACUACUGAUUGUUUUGACA